rnacentral:rRNA from 1 species
UACGGAGGGGGCUAGCGUUGUUCGGAAUUACUGGGCGUAAAGCGCGCGUAGGCGGAUAUUUAAGUCGGGGGUGAAAUCCCGGGGCUCAACCCCGGAACUGCCUUCGAUACUGGAUGUCUGGAGGUCGAGAGAGGCGAGUGGAAUUCCGAGUGUAGAGGUGAAAUUCGUAGAUAUUCGGAGGAACACCAGUGGCGAAGGCGGCUCGCUGGCUCGAUACUGACGCUGAGGUGCGAAAGCGUGGGGAGCAAACAGG